rnacentral:rRNA from 1 species
GAUGAACGCUGGCGGCGUGCCUAAUACAUGCAAGUCGAGCGAACAGAUGAGGAGCUUGCUCCUCUGACGUUAGCGGCGGACGGGUGAGUAACACGUGGAUAACCUACCUAUAAGACUGGGAUAACUUCGGGAAACCGGAGCUAAUACCGGAUAAUAUAUUGAACCGCAUGGUUCAAUAGUGAAAGACGGUUUUGCUGUCACUUAUAGAUGGAUCCGCGCCGCAUUAGCUAGUUGGUAAGGUAACGGCUUACCAAGGCAACGAUGCGUAGCCGACCUGAGAGGGUGAUCGGCCACACUGGAACUGAGACACGGUCCAGACUCCUACGGGAGGCAGCAGUAGGGAACCUUCCGCAAUGGGCGAAAGCCUGACGGAGCAACGCCGCGUGAGUGAUGAAGGUCUUCGGAUCGUAAAACUCUGUUAUUGGGGAAGAACAAAUGUGUAAGUAACUAUGCACGUCUUGACGGUACCUAAUCAGAAAGCCACGGCUAACUACGUG